GCGUUCUUUUUUCAUGAUGUUCGGAGACCUUUUUUUGCUCUUCUUUUGCAUGGCUCUUUUUAUGGGAAAAACACCUUUACCCCACUGUGGUUGUAGCGUUUUAAGCAAUUAGCCACUGUGCUUUUAAAAUAUUCAAUUAGCCCACUGUACUUUUUAAAAAUGUUCAAUUAAGCAAUUUCGUCCAAUUUUGCUAACGGACUUUAAAAAAUUGGGGAAAAAAAACACCUUUACCCCACUGUGACGCCCCCAAAAUAGGUAUACAACAUCCAUUCUGAGUCGCCAAAUACAUGGUACAGAAAGAAAACUACAACUCCAUUAUUACAAUUAUCGAUCGUGCAAAAUACGACAACACAUACUGUGAGUUUAAAUACAAAUAUUGUCUUCUAGACAAUAUGCACACCCAAAUAAGUCCUCAUUACAUUUAUUAAUACAUUAUUUUACAAAAUAGUGAGGACUACUAAAAUAGCUAUCUUGAAUCAUCACUCCAUACCCCGGCUAGUC
rnacentral:lncRNA from 1 species